rnacentral:rRNA from 1 species
UACGUAGGGUGCAGGCGUUAAUCGGAAUUACUGGGCGUAAAGCGUGCGCAGGCGGGUUGCUAAGUCAGGGGUGAAAUCCCCGGGCUUAACCUGGGAACUGCGGUUGUAACUGGCAAGCUGGAGUGCGGCAGAGGGGGGUGGAAUUCCACGUGUAGCAGUGAAAUGCGUAGAGAUGUGGAGGAACACCGAUGGCGAAGGCAGCCCCCUGGGCUAACACUGACGCUGAGGCGCGAAAGCCAGGGGAGCAAACGGG